GGGUUGUGAGGUUAAGCGACUAAGCGUACACGGUGGAUGCCCUGGCAGUCAGAGGCGAUGAAGGGCGUGCUAAUCUGCGAUAAGCGCCGGUAAGGUGAUAUGAACCGUUAUAACCGGCGAUACCCGAAUGGGGAAACCCAGUGUGAUUCGUCACACUAUCAUUAACUGAAUCCAUAGGUUAAUGAGGCGAACCGGGGGAACUGAAACAUCUAAGUACCCCGAGGAAAAGAAAUCAACCGAGAUUCCCCCAGUAGCGGCGAGCGAACGGGGAGGAGCCCAGAGCCUGAAUCAGCAUGUGUGUUAGUGGAAGCGUCUGGAAAGGCGCGCGAUACAGGGUGACAGCCCCGUACACAAAAGCGCAUGUGCUGUGAGCUCGAUGAGUAGGGCGGGACACGUGGUAUCCUGUCUGAAUAUGGGGGGACCAUCCUCCAAGGCUAAAUACUCCUGACUGACCGAUAGUGAACCAGUACCGUGAGGGAAAGGCGAAAAGAACCCCGGCGAGGGGAGUGAAAAAGAACCUGAAACCGUGUACGUACAAGCAGUGGGAGCNNGGGCGUUAAGUUGCAGGGUAUAGACCCGAAACCCGGUGAUCUAGCCAUGGGCAGGUUGAAGGUUGGGUAACACUAACUGGAGGACCGAACCGACUAAUGUUGAAAAAUUAGCGGAUGACCUGUGGCUGGGGGUGAAAGGCCAAUCAAACCGGGAGAUAGCUGGUUCUCCCCGAAAGCUAUUUAGGUAGCGCCUCGUGAAUUCAUCUCCGGGGGUAGAGCACUGUUUCGGCUAGGGGGCCAUCCCGGCUUACCAACCCGAUGCAAACUGCGAAUACCGGAGAAUGUUAUCACGGGAGACACACGGCGGGUGCUAACGUCCGUCGUGAAGAGGGAAACAACCCAGACCGCCAGCUAAGGUCCCAAAGUCAUGGUUAAGUGGGAAACGAUGUGGGAAGGCCCAGACAGCCAGGAUGUUGGCUUAGAAGCAGCCAUCAUUUAAAGAAAGCGUAAUAGCUCACUGGUCGAGUCGGCCUGCGCGGAAGAUGUAACGGGGCUAAACCAUGCACCGAAGCUGCGGCAGCGACACUGUGUGUUGUUGGGUAGGGGAGCGUUCUGUAAGCCUGCGAAGGUGGCCUGUGAGGGUUGCUGGAGGUAUCAGAAGUGCGAAUGCUGACAUAAGUAACGAUAAAGCGGGUGAAAAGCCCGCUCGCCGGAAGACCAAGGGUUCCUGUCCAACGUUAAUCGGGGCAGGGUGAGUCGACCCCUAAGGCGAGGCCGAAAGGCGUAGUCGAUGGGAAACGGGUUAAUAUUCCCGUACUUGGUGUUACUGCGAAGGGGGGACGGAGAAGGCUAUGUUGGCCGGGCGACGGUUGUCCCGGUUUAAGCGUGUAGGUGUGUGUUCCAGGUAAAUCCGGUUCACUUUAACACUGAGGCGUGACGACGAGGCACUACGGUGCUGAAGCAACAAAUGCCCUGCUUCCAGGAAAAGCCUCUAAGCAUCAGGUAACAUCAAAUCGUACCCCAAACCGACACAGGUGGUCAGGUAGAGAAUACCAAGGCGCUUGAGAGAACUCGGGUGAAGGAACUAGGCAAAAUGGUGCCGUAACUUCGGGAGAAGGCACGCUGACACGUAGGUGAAGUGAUUUACUCAUGGAGCUGAAGUCAGUCGAAGAUACCAGCUGGCUGCAACUGUUUAUUAAAAACACAGCACUGUGCAAACACGAAAGUGGACGUAUACGGUGUGACGCCUGCCCGGUGCCGGAAGGUUAAUUGAUGGGGUCAGCGCAAGCGAAGCUCCUGAUCGAAGCCCCGGUAAACGGCGGCCGUAACUAUAACGGUCCUAAGGUAGCGAAAUUCCUUGUCGGGUAAGUUCCGACCUGCACGAAUGGCGUAAUGAUGGCCAGGCUGUCUCCACCCGAGACUCAGUGAAAUUGAACUCGCUGUGAAGAUGCAGUGUACCCGCGGCAAGACGGAAAGACCCCGUGAACCUUUACUAUAGCUUGACACUGAACAUUGAGCCUUGAUGUGUAGGAUAGGUGGGAGGCUUUGAAGUGUGGACGCCAGUCUGCAUGGAGCCGACCUUGAAAUACCACCCUUUAAUGUUUGAUGUUCUAACGUGGACCCGUUACCCGGGUUGCGGACAGUGUCUGGUGGGUAGUUUGACUGGGGCGGUCUCCUCCUAAAGAGUAACGGAGGAGCACGAAGGUUGGCUAAUCCUGGUCGGACAUCAGGAGGUUAGUGCAAUGGCAUAAGCCAGCUUGACUGCGAGCGUGACGGCGCGAGCAGGUGCGAAAGCAGGUCAUAGUGAUCCGGUGGUUCUGAAUGGAAGGGCCAUCGCUCAACGGAUAAAAGGUACUCCGGGGAUAACAGGCUGAUACCGCCCAAGAGUUCAUAUCGACGGCGGUGUUUGGCACCUCGAUGUCGGCUCAUCACAUCCUGGGGCUGAAGUAGGUCCCAAGGGUAUGGCUGUUCGCCAUUUAAAGUGGUACGCGAGCUGGGUUUAGAACGUCGUGAGACAGUUCGGUCCCUAUCUGCCGUGGGCGCUGGAGAACUGAGGGGGGCUGCUCCUAGUACGAGAGGACCGGAGUGGACGCAUCACUGGUGUUCGGGUUGUCAUGCCAAUGGCACUGCCCGGUAGCUAAAUGCGGAAGAGAUAAGUGCUGAAAGCAUCUAAGCACGAAACUUGCCCCGAGAUGAGUUCUCCCUGAGACUUAAAGUCUCCUGAAGGAACGUUGAAGACGACGACGUUGAUAGGCCGGGUGUGUAAGCGCAGCGAUGCGUUGAGCUAACCGGUACUAAUGAACCGUGAGGCUUAACCUUACAACGCCGAAG
rnacentral:rRNA from 1 species